AGAGUUUGAUCAUGGCUCAGGAUGAACGCUGGCGGCGUGCCUAAUACAUGCAAGUCGAACGGAGUAGCAAUACUUAGUGGCGACCGGGUGCGUAACACGUAGCUGACCUGCCCCUCAGCGGGGGACAACACUUCGAAAGAGGUGCUAAUACCGCAUGUACUUGGAAUAAUUAGAUAGUUCCAAGGAAACUUACGGGGCUGAGGGAGGGGGCUGCGGCCCAUCAGGUAGUUGGUAGGGUAACGGCCUACCAAGCCAACGACGGGUAGGGGGCCUGAGAGGGUGACCCCCCACACUGGGACUGACACACGGCCCAGACUCCUACGGGAGGCAGCAGUAAGGAAUAUUGCGCAAUGGGCGAAAGCCUGACGCAGCAACGCCGCGUGGAGGAUGACGGCCUUCGGGUUGUAAACUCCUUUUAGGGGUGACGAGAUAGGACGGUAGCCCCUGAAUCAGUCACGGCUAACUACGUGCCAGCCGCCGCGGUAAUUC
rnacentral:rRNA from 1 species